UAUGCCACGCUUCUAGGCAAAGUCUUUGACCAUAGCGAUUGUUUGUGGUAAGUACUUUAGGUAAUUACCACAAACAAUCGCUAUGGUCAAAGACUUUUCCUAGAAGCGUGGCAUAUAAAUAUG